rnacentral:tRNA from 1 species
UGAGUUGAAGCUGAAAAAAUAGCAUUUGGCCGUUAACCAAAAGGAUGAAGGUUAAAUUCCUUUCAACUCAG